UCUUUCUGAUGUGCAGCGUUUUCUUCC
rnacentral:sRNA from 1 species